UAUGCAGCAAGAAAUGAUGAAGAAAUGGAAGAAAUUACUAUUAAAAGGUCUAUAGGUAGCAACAGGAGUAGACAGCAUGCUAGGAGGGAACAUAUAAUUAGAGUAGAAAGAACUAGGAGAAUAUCAUACACGUGGAAUAGAAAUUUCUGAUAUUUUAAAUGCAACUCAAUGUGAAAUGUUAUUGAAUUGGAAUAAUGAAUUACAGUGUGCGAAUAAUUUUAAAUUUAUAAGGUUUGGCGAGAAAGAUUUAAAGAAAGUAUUAGAGCUAAGAAAAAGAAUGAAAAUAAGCCAUAUUAGACUAUCCAAAUCUCUAUUAGCUAUGCCUGUAAACAAGAAGAAUUUAUUCAGCAAGCCAAUUGAUUUAGAUGAAAAUAGUGUAAUGGAAAUAGAAUAAAUUCUGUAGAUAUGUC